ACAUACGACCAUAGGGUGUGGAGAACAGGGCUUUCUGUCCGCUCAGCCGUACUUCAGCCACACGCCGGGAGGUUAGUAGUUGGGUGCGUGACCACUAGCGAAUCCCUCCUGUUGUAUGUU
rfam:Aspergillus oryzae RIB40 DNA, chromosome 4.